rnacentral:lncRNA from 1 species
AAGACAUUUGGGAAGUGUUUGACUCGUUUUUAGCCACCCUACAUCACCUGUUCAAAAUAUAAGUAACUUCAGACUUUGCGAACGGCCUCCAACGUCUCCAGUGGGGAGCACACACAGCGUCUUCUCGGCGUCUGGUCUGGAGCUCCAGGGUGAGCACUGGCCUCCAGCGGCUCUCUCCUCGUCCUGUCCACACAGGAUGCUGUCCCCUCCCCUUUCCAUCACCUUCUGGGUUUUCCUUCAUCAUCCUGGCUUAGCUCUGGGACCUCGAUGUCCCGUCCUGGACUCUGGAUCUCUGUCCCUCCUCUCUCCACGUCUCCUCUAUCACCAGCCUAGAAAUCUCACAGCAACACCCAGUCCCAGGGCGCCGCCCUCGGAGCCGUCCUGGGCUCCCUUUCAGAGAUCAAGAACAGCCUGGCUCUAUCUGGCAUCCCUGGAGAUUCAUGGCCUUUAUCAUUAUCCCAAAAUAAAUCUAAAGCACAAAACCAUGGCCUCUCAAGUUUCCGCUUUUCCUCCCGGAACCCUGAGCUCUGCCUGGCUUCAAGGAGCAUGACAAAGAGGGCAUUCAGGGGCCUCUGUGUCGUGGCAGCAGGGGGCCUGGCCGCUCACUGCACUCGGUGUGCACAGAUCCGUUGGGAGGAGCCGACCUGUUUUCAGUCUGGAGUGGAAUAACGAAAGCGUGAGUUGCCGGAACCUCUUUACCCAACUCACCACAGGUGAGGCGGCUCGGCCCGUGUCUAGGGGAGUCGCCGGCCUUGGACCUUAAAUUGUCUUAAACCCAAUUUCCCAUGUGCCUGACUCACUCUGACCUUAUCCCAAAACACUCAGAGUGUUUUCUCGAUGCCACCUUGGACCCUGGAGCCCUGCAUGUUCUCUCCUGGGAUCAUCUAACUGUAAUCCACAGUGCGCCGGGGGUCCAGCCACAACGUCUCCCUUUGGCCUCCAGGAGCCUAAAAUUAGGAUCCUCUAGCUUCUGUGUCUGCAAAGAUGCUCAGAGGUAUAAUCCCUAAAACUUGAUAAUCUAGCCAACUGCAGUUACGAGCCACCCACCCCUCUGAUUGUAUUGCUGUGGUGUGGACAUGAUCUGUAGUUUCCUCAAAGCAUCGGACACGGAGCUUGGGAGAAAACAACCUACAGGAAGAUUAGCCCUAAGCUAACAUCUGCUACCAGUCCUCUUUUUGCUGAGGAAGACUGGCCCUGAGCUCACAUCCAUGCCCAUCUUCCUCUACUUUAUACGUGGGAUGCCUACCACAGCAUGGCUUGCCAAGCGGUGCCAUGUCCACACCCAGGAUCCAAACGGGAGAACCCCGGGCCGCUGAAGCAGAAUGUGCGCACUUACCCGCUGUGCCACUGGGCCGGCCCUGAGUCUCUUUUCUAACAGUUGGAAAUACACUGCUUUAUUUCUAAAAUCCAAGUGGCAAGUUUAAGUUAUGGAAGAACUAACACUUUUGAUUCUGAUGCUGUGUGUUGCAUACUCUGUGGACAAAUAGCUGAAUGUUUUCACCCUAGUGCCAUUUCAACAGGGACAG